CAAAACCCCCGUUUUUUUUUUUUUGUUUUUUUUUUUUUUUUUUUUUUUGUUGUAUAUUUUCCUAGGGCUUGAUUAGGCUUCCUGUUUCUCUAGCUCUGAAAUGAUUGGAUCUUCUUCUUGCUGUUGAAGGAAGUCGCGUUUGGCCUUUCCGUGAAAAUCGAUCUCUGCAUUCAUUUAUUCAUUCUGUUAUUUCACUUUAUUGCUUGAAUUUCCAAAGCGAGAAAAGCAGUUACGUUUUCAGCAUUUUCUGUUAUCACUGUGUAGCUUCAUUGCGUUCGUUUCUUUUCUGUUAAUCGCGUUUUAUUAGUUUAUGCCGCGUUUAUUGUAGAAUACUUUUGAGUGCCAUUAAGCUAAGUGAUGAUACAAUUGAAUUAAUUGUAAUAGUUUAUAUUUGAUGCUAUCAAGUUCAUAAUAAGGAUUUAUAUGUUGUUUCUGAAAGGUUGUUGAGAAGGCUCAGCAUAACAAUUCAAAUAACCUCAAUGCAUCAAUGCGGUUGCGAAAGGCUUGCAGUGGCAGCUACCUUUCUUCAAGCUUCCGUUGUCUAAUUUGGUGAAAUCAUUCACAUUCACAACAACUAGAAUUUUGAAUCGCAUGAAAACAAAACCCUUGUUGAAUAAUAUCAAAAACUUGAAUUGGAAUUUGAAGAAGAGAAGAACCAACACGCAAAUCCCCACCAUUGCUUCAUGUUAGGAUUGGGGAUUUAGAGUUCCCUUCUCAGUUGACUGAUAGUGGCGAGUGGCAAAUGGAAGAAGGUUGCAAUAUUUUGCUAUGUUACGGUUCAGGUGGCGUCAUUCAGGGGGUUUGUCAAUAACGACAUGAAUUUUCAGAGACUCGAAAUUACCUCAAAUCGACACUUUCAUGUUCAUCCCUUUUAAUUUGCAUCUUGAGAUCACGUUUGGAUGGUGAUAUUGGUCGGAAAUUGAUUCAAAAGGAGGAAGGGUGGUACAAGAUGAAAUUGUCACCAUCACAGCAGAUGAAGAAAACUAUAAAAGGAGUCUAGUUAGAGAAAUUAUUACUUGGUCAAGAAAUAUUACGAUGUUGACCAAUAUUUAUGUAACACGUAAUCAAAUUUUAUUGUUA